rnacentral:rRNA from 1 species
AACGAACGCUGGCGGCAUGCCUAACACAUGCAAGUCGAACGAGACCUUCGGGUCUAGUGGCGCACGGGUGCGUAACGCGUGGGAACCUGCCCUUAGGUUCGGAAUAACUCCCCGAAAGGGGUGCUAAUACCGGAUAAUGUCUUCGGACCAAAGAUUUAUCGCCUUUGGAUGGGCCCGCGUUAGAUUAGCUAGUUGGCAGGGUAAAAGCCUACCAAGGCGACGAUCCAUAGCUGGUCUGAGAGGAUGAUCAGCCACACUGGGACUGAGACACGGCCCAGACUCCUACGGGAGGCAGCAGUGGGGAAUAUUGGACAAUGGGCGAAAGCCUGAUCCAGCAAUGCCGCGUGAGUGAUGAAGGCCUUAGGGUUGUAAAGCUCUUUUACCCGGGAUGAUAAUGACAGUACCGGGAGAAUAAGCUCCGGCGAACUCCGU